UCUAUAAUCGAUUGUUGAAAUUAAAAUCUGGAAAGGAUUUUUUGAACGUUGCUGAAUAAUCGAUUAUUGAUUUUGUAUAAUCGAUUGGUUUACGUAUAAUCUGGAAAUAAUUUUUUGAACGUUGCCAAUAAUCGAUUGUUGAUCAUGGAUAAUCGAUUGUUAAGCGUAAAAUCUGUGGUUGAUUUUUGGAACGAUUGGCAAACAAUCGAUUGUGGCUUCUUGACAAUCGAUUGUCACAGAGUAAAAUCAGCAGUUCUUAAUUGGCAAUUAGGCAACGGUAAUGCCAAAUUUUUUCAACUGUAAAUACAGCUUCAAUUCAGUCUUUUGAACAUAACAACACACAACAACUGAUCAUAUAAUUUCUAUAAGCUUUCAUACUCUAUUGCUUAUCAUUUUAUAUUCAUUACAUAAGUUUUUGAGAGCC
rnacentral:lncRNA from 1 species